GCCCCGGCCCGCCUCUCAGGCCCUGGUGUAUGUGAGCUGUGGGACGCCCUUGUCCCCAGCCUCUUUUGGGCACUGACUCUCUUCCUUUCAGCACGAGCCCACGGGCCCAUUUCCUGACCCUUCACCCGCUGCCCACCUCCUCCGUGUGCACCCAGACUCCCGCCCGCAGGAUGGGUAACAGGUUCACAUGGAGCCGGUCUAGACUGCAGGCCGCUGUGUGCACCCAGAGAGUGCCUGCCCUCAGCCCACUUCCGUCCAAGCAGGUGCGGGGCUCGUGGGCUCUCCGACCCCUGGGGGACGCCGCUGCUCCUGCUGUCGGCCCCAGGUUCGCACAGGGGGGUAUUCGCAGCACCCCCACACACACACACACACACCUCUUCAGGCCCUGACAUCAGGUUCACAGACAGUGGCAGUUUCUCGCCCGAGGUCAUCUCUGUUUCUGGCCCUUGUAGCUGCAGACCUGGUCAUUUUUGGCAUUUUUUUGGUGGUUUUUUUUCUUUUUCCCUUGCUUUUUUAGGGCCGCACCUGCAGCAUAUGGAAAUGUGGAAGUUGCCAGGCUAGGGGCCGAAUCGGAGCUACAGCUGCCAGCUUGCCCCUGUCCACUCGUGCGGGGUGGGCGCCCUGCGGCCCGUCUCAGCCUCUCAGACCUGCGCUCAGGAGGGCAGCUCUGCCCGUGGCUGGGCGUGAGGCGCGGUCCAGCGAGUGCCUCGUGCUGAGGAAACCAUGGUCGGCCGCCCAGACGCAACACGUCUCUUCCCGUCUGCUCACCGCUUCUGAGCCUCUGCGUCCAGGAUUCCAGCGCCUUCUGAACCUGCCGAGGCUUCCCCUGAUGUUCCCGCCUGAGCACCCCCACACCCCCAGAGUGAUUUCCGUGGGGCCCUCGUGGGCGUCCCUUUAACGGGCCAGUUGCAGGCUGCGAAAUUCGAACACUUUGAUGAAAUGGAAACGUUGCUAGACAAUGACUGGUUCGAGUAAACGCCCAAAGGAAUCGAGCGGAGCAGGUUCCCGCGGAUUCCCGCUGCGGCUCAGAGGAAACGAACCCGACGAGCACCCAAGAGGACGCAGGUUCCACCUCUGGCCUCGCCCGGUGGGUCGAGGAUCCCGCGUUGCUGUGGCCGGGGCGCAGGUUGGUGGCUGCAACGCCGAUUUGACCCCUAGCCUGGGGGCCUCCCUAUGCUGCAGGUGUGGCCCUAAAAAGACCAAAAGGAAAAACAAACAACCAAAAAGCCCUUCAUGGCAACAUCGAGACUGGUGUUUGACCAACUCGCUGGGCACCAAGGCCUGACCGAGUUGACACGAAAUGAGCCAUCACACUGGAUAAAUGUGUGCUCAUCGUAUAAUUCUUUCUGCUUCUUUUCUGUAUUAAUGUUUUCAUUAAAAGGUAGGAGGCAAAGGAUGUUUGUUCACCAAAAGUCACAGUAAAGAAAGUGAAAGUCAAG
rnacentral:lncRNA from 1 species